rnacentral:rRNA from 1 species
UAGUUGGCGGGGUAACGGCCCACCAAGGCUACGAUCCGUAGCUGGUCUGAGAGGAUGAUCAGCCACACUGGGACUGAGAUACGGCCCAGACUCCUACGGGAGGCAGCAGUGGGGAAUAUUGGACAAUGGGGGAAACCCUGAUCCAGCAAUGCCGCGUGAGUGAAGAAGGCCUUAGGGUUGUAAAGCUCUUUCGGCGGGGACGAUGGUGACGGUACCCGCAGAAGAAGCCCCGGCUAACUUCGUGCCAGCAGCCGCGGUAAUACGAAGGGGGCUAGCGUUGUUCGGAAUCACUGGGCGUAAAGGGCGCGUAGGCGGCGCGACAAGUCAGGCGUGAAAGCCCCGGGCUCAACCCGGGAAUUGCGCUUGAUACUGUCGUGCUUGAGGCCGGGAGAGGAUGGCGGAAUUCCCAGUGUAGAGGUGAAAUUCGUAGAUAUUGGGAAGAACACCGGUGGCGAAGGCGGCCAUCUGGACCGGUUCUGACGCUGAGGCGCGAAAGCGUGGGGAGCAAACAGGAUUAGAUACCCUGGUAGUCCACGCCGUAAACGAUGAGUGCUAGACGUCGGGGGGUUCACCCUCCGGUGUCGCAGCUAACGCUUUAAGCACUCCGCCUGGGGAGUACGGUCGCAAGAUUAAAACUCAAAGGAAUUGACG